AAAAAAAGCCUUUCGCUUACACCGAAAUUAUGCCUGUUAAAACCAGGUCACUUUGAGCCAAAACUCUAG
rnacentral:tRNA from 1 species